UCAAACGAUGUUUCGUUAAUAUCGAUUCUUGCCCGCGCCCAAACCCCGCUCUCUUAGUUAUGCACGCCACCGCGAUUUCUUCCUCCUCUUCCGCCACCAUCUGCCGCAGCUUUCCUCGUGGGUUCCAGCCUCGGCACCCACCUCGCCAUGGGUGUCACGGAAAUGUCCCUGUUAAUUUGAUAUGAUCAAGAGUUCGCCGGAGGCCAUACUGCAGAACUGCACGGUUACCAGCUCUGAAACCAUCUCCAUAUGCUGAUGCCGAAGAGGAUGAGGUGGAUGCAACAUUAUUGCCAGACCCUGAGAUGAUCUGAGAGUCCAGCCACAUGUGCGCCAGAACCUGACAGAUGCCUUCUUCAACUUCUUGGCUAAGAGAACGAUAUCCUGUAAGACAAUC